rnacentral:tRNA from 1 species
GUAGCGCAAGGGAUAGCGCGUUGGACUUCUAAUGCAAAGGUCGUGCGUUCGAAUACCACCUACG